rnacentral:ribozyme from 1 species
CAGCGGUCCAUGUUAUCAUGGGAAGCUGGCGAGGGAAACACACUAUAUAGUGGGAAAUUAACUCGC